rnacentral:ncRNA from 2 species
AACAGAGUAAAUGGUCUACGUUAAGUGCCACUGGAUGGGAUGUUGCCAGUGGACGAAGUGCUUUGUGCGCGCGGUCGGCCAUUGCCUCCGCUGUU